GAUGAACGCUGGCGGCGUGCCUAAUACAUGCAAGUCGAGCGAACAGACGAGGAGCUUUCUCCCCUGACGUUAGCGGCGGACGGGUGAGUAACACGUGGAUAACCUACUUAUAAGACUGGGAUAACUUCGGGAAACCGGAGCUAAUACCGGAUAAUAUAUUGAACCGCAUGGUUCAAUAGUGAAAGACGGUUUUGCUGUCACUUAUAGAUGGAUCCGCGCCGCAUUAGCUAGUUGGUAAGGUAGCGGCUUACCAAGGCGACGAUGCGUAGCCGACCUGAGAGGGUGAUCGGCCACACUGGAACUGAGACACGGUCCAGACUCCUACGGGAGGCAGCAGUAGGGAAUCUUCCGCAAUGGGCGAAAGCCUGACGGAGCAACGCCGCGUGAGUGAUGAAGGUCUUCGGAUCGUAAAACUCUGUUAUUAGGGAAGAACAAAUGUGUAAGUAACUAUGCACGUCUUGACGGUACCUAAUCAGAAAGCCACGGCUAACUACGUG
rnacentral:rRNA from 1 species